ACAAUGAAUUCAGUUCGCUCGCAGAACAUCCACGCCUUCGUCAAUACUUACCCCCUUCCCACAAACGUACACAGCUAUAUAGAUCCCUCUCUUCAGAUUUGGAGCCCCUCCAAGGCCAUAAAGGCUGUUUUUUAGCUGAAAGAAAACUUCCAAAUGACUUCUGUCAAGAUUUUAAGAAGAAAUCUUGGAUGGACUUAUCAACAGGCCCCGUCGUUCAAAUCGUCCCGAACAAAACCUCUUUGAAGACGCCUCAGUGAAUUCUCGUAAGUCGGAGAGAAAUCUUGUGGAAAGGACUCGGCUGUCCUUUGCUCUGGCAGUCUAAGUGAGUUGUAUUACUGCAUGGAGUAAACAAGAAGACAGAGAAAUACAGUUGUCAUUGUGUAUGUUUGUAGGUGGAGGAUUAGCCGAGGUGUCUGAAUGGGAGACGACUUUGAAUUAAAUCCAUGUUAAAGACGAUUACCUUGAAUUCAUAUAAGUGAUACUACUAUUCCCAAGCACACUCUUGAAACGAACCUCGGUUUCAUCACCGUUUUCACCAAGGACUAAGGAGAAUAUCAUGUAUUUCCCCCGUUAAUUUCCUGUCCAUGAUGUCUUCUUAUUCACAACUUUGUGGUUGUUUUUCAUAGCUGCACUGCAACAAAAGUUUACAUUUGGAACUGUGACCCAUUCGUCGUGGAUUUAUUCUCUCUGAAUCUGAUGUCCAUCAAACGGAAUCAUAACAAGGAUAUACUUCAGUGGAGAUUUUAGGAGUAUUUACUGAUUUUAAGAUGAUUUCUCUUCAAAUUCCCGUGUUACACGUUCGAAUCUCUCUGCUGUGUCGGCUUGCCCUUGUCUUACCCGUGGUCGCUGCCCUGCUCAACGAGCCCGGCGCCCUGAUCGAAGAGGCUGCAACCGUUACGGAAGAGGGCCUCAAUCUCCUGCCAGGAGAGUCGCUUUCAAACAG